AUUGAUUCACUACAUCGGCAGAACAUGAGGAGCUCAGCAUAAUUUCCUCAUGGCAUUGAGUCCUGCAUCACGCAUAAUUACACACAUUUUCAGCACAUAGCCUGUGAUCUCAGGAGGAGAAAAUAACUCUUUAAAAAACAAGUCUCUACAGUCUCGCUCACCUAGGACCCAACCCUGCAAUCCCAUUGGUGUCAAUGGCACUACUCAUGUAGACGUGCAAUGCAUUACAAUUCAAAGGCUUCAUCCUGCCCACAGUUACACAGAGGAGUAAAACUACUCAUGGGUAUAAAUUUCUAGUGGCCUCUGGAGUCACCCAUUUGCUGAAAAAUUCUUCAGCUCCUGCUGCUGGGCAUGCAUGAAGUACUGCUGUUGUCUCUCCAGCAACGAGAAAAGCCCUG